rnacentral:rRNA from 1 species
AUGACCGUGCCGCACCUUGACGACGGCAUCGUCUCCGAGAUCUUGUACCGGCUGCCCACCAAUGAGGCCUACCGCCUCGCCGCCGUCUGCCGGCAGUGGCGCGCGGUGCUCUCCCAGCCCACGUUCCUCUGCCGCCACCUUUCCCCGCGGCCACUCCCGCUCCUCGACGACCGGCCGUAUGCGCUCAUCAUCCAGCCUCGCUGGAAAGUCGGCUUCACCCACCUCACGCUCGUCGCUUUCGACCCCGCCAAUAGCGUCCGCGUCAGGGUGCCUGUGCAACCAAAGUACACGAGCGCCCACGCCCCUGAACAUCCGGCUGCCUCGCCGAUGGAGACGGCGCCGUUCGCAAUGAAGGUGGAAGAGUAUGUUGUCUUCUUCGAACGCACAGUCCCGAUGCUCGACAUCUCCGUAGUCGCGUCGCAUGGCAGGUUGCUGCUGUGCCGCAGCCGUGUCCGCUACUAUGUCUGCGACCCGGCCGCGAACCGCUGGCUCGCACUCCCUCCGUCAACAAUCUCGCAGUCUAGCAUGGCCAACUCUGGCCUCCACUACGAUGUCGAUGAGUCCACCGGACGGUUCGUGUUCACCGUCGUACACCUCGUCCGGUGUAGGCGGCGCCGCGUGCUUGUGGAGACCUUCUCGUCUGCCAGCGGCAGGUGGGAUGCGAGGGAGCUCGCCGCGCCUGGCGUCGCCCGCUGCCUGCCGUCGCGCGACGAGUCCCCCGGCAUCCACGUCGGCAUGUGUUUCUACUGGCUCACCCGGCGUUGGGGCGGUGGACGGAGGCGCAUCAUCUCUUACGAUGCCACCCAUUGCCGCGUCUCCGUGCUGCACGAGCCGCCGCUGGCGGAGAAGGCCAAGGACCGCAUGGGGCGGUCACUGGGGUCGGUUGGCGGCCGGCUCCGCCUAUGCGCCUACGACAUCCGCGAAGACAGCGAGUCGAUGCUCCCCAGCGGCCACAACCACUACAUGCAAGGCGUGCACGGCGUGUGGCUGAUGGAUGCGGCGUCCGUCUGGCGUCGCGUGCACGAGGCGGUGGUGCAGGACGUAUCGACCUACUAUUCCAUAUUGAUUGAGGAGCCACCGGUUGACUUAGCCGGCGCCUCCGGCGAGUUCAUUGUGCUAGAAAAGUUGAAGAGACUACUACGGUACAACCUCGAGAGCGGCAGCAAAGUGGAGCUCGUGAACCUUGAAAUCGGUGGCAUCUGGCGCAGCAAACUCUACCGCCACUACAAUGCCUUCCCAUUCUUCAAGUGA